UACGGAGGGUGCAAGCGUUAUCCGGAUUUAUUGGGUUUAAAGGGUCCGUAGGCGGAUCUGUAAGUCAGUGGUGAAAUCUCACAGCUUAACUGUGAAACUGCCAUUGAUACUGCAGGUCUUGAGUGUUAUUGAAGUAGCUGGAAUAAGUAGUGUAGCGGUGAAAUGCAUAGAUAUUACUUAGAACACCAAUUGCGAAGGCAGGUUACUAAGCAACAACUGACGCUGAUGGACGAAAGCGUGGGGAGUGAACAGG
rnacentral:rRNA from 1 species